rnacentral:rRNA from 1 species
UACGGGACAACGUUAGGGAAACUGACGCUAAUACCGUAUAAUAUCUCAGGAUACAAAGUAUUUAUCGCUGGAGGGAGCACGCCCGCGUCUGAUUAGCUAGUUGGUGAGGUAAUGGCUCACCAAGGCUACGAUCAGUAGCAGGUCUGAGAGGAUGAUCUGCCACACUGGGACUGAGACACGGCCCAGACUCCUACGGGAGGCAGCAGUUAGGAAUAUUGGACAAUGGGCGAAAGCCUGAUCCAGCCAUGCCGCGUGUGUGAUGAACGGCCCUAGGGUUAGUAAAGCUACUUUCGUUGGGGAUGAUAAUGACCGUACCCAAAGAAGAAGCACCGGCUAACUUCGUG